rnacentral:rRNA from 1 species
UACAGAGGUCUCAAGCGUUGUUCGGAUUCAUUGGGCGUAAAGGGCGCGUAGGCGGCCACCGCAAGUCGACUGUGAAAUCUCCGGGCUUAACUCGGAAAGGUCAGCCGAUACUGCGGGGCUAGAGUGCAGAAGGGGCAACUGGAAUUCUCGGUGUAGCGGUGAAAUGCGUAGAUAUUCGGAAGAACACCGGUGGCGAAGGCGACCUUCUGGGCCGCAACUGACGCUGAGGCACGGAAAGCCUGGGGAGCGAACGGG